UCAGAGAUCCCAUCUUGAAUGAUUCCCAGG
rnacentral:piRNA from 1 species